rnacentral:lncRNA from 1 species
UAAUUUUUGAUAGCCAGUAAUAGCUGUACACAAAGUGGUAGGAUAAAAUAUUAACACACAAAACCAGUAGCCUUCCUACAUGCUAAUGAAAACCAUACUAAAAGAGAGAUCAAGGAAAGAACUCCUUUUUAAAAUAGUCAUAAACAACAAUAAAAUACAUGAGAAUAAACCUGACCAAUGAAAUAAAAGACUUCUACUACCAUGAAUGCUUUAAAAUACUGAUGAAAGAAAUUAAAGACACCAGAAGAUGUAAAGCUUCCCUAUGGCUAUGCUCAUGUAUUGGGAAAACUAAUAUUGUGAAAAUGCUCAUUUUACCAAAAAUAACCUAUAGAGUCAAUGGAAGCACAAUAAAAAUUCCAAUGCCAUUCUUCUCAGACAUGGAAAGAAAUUAUCCAAACAUUCAUUUAGUGUUACAAAGGGUCAAAAAGUGUCAAAGCAAUCUCAAGAAAAAGGAAAUUUCACUAGUUCUUAAGCAACUAAGGCAUAAUUGAAAAAUUAAAAAAGAGUUUAAACAUUCACAGUGGUGAGCAAUGCUGUUCCCAGAAGACAUGAGUUAUUAAAUGGAAGUUCAAAUACAAGUUAUCUUCCUAUGAAUUAUUGGUCAAGGAGGCUUCAAAAGUAUCAAACACAAUGUAGGCUAUUGUCAGUACCUCUGUUUGCCUGUGGGGAGCCAAGGAACACAUGAACAUAGGACGCUUGGUAACUGAAUGGCCAUCUGGUCAGUCUCAGGUUUAAAUAUUUAUGUUUCCAGUCUUUGACUUGUGCUGCUCUCAACCUUAGUCACAGAAGCAAACCUGAGUAGCAGUCAACUGCUUUUCCAAACGCAGAGAAUAGAUAGCUGCAAAUGGUUAUCUCUAUCAACACCUCUUUCCAAGACUCAGGUAAUCUGAAGGAAGAGAGGACAGAAUGAAUAUAAGAGCCACAGAACAAGGAGGAUUACUAUGAAAUGCUGUCCUCUGGAUGUGACAUGGGUGUUAGACACAUGGACUUAUAUCAGUUCCAGUUAUCCAUGCAAGACAUCAACUAUAUAAGCAAGUUAAAAUUUUCAGCAUAGACAGAGGAGGGGCUCCUGGUGCCCCACCCAUAGUUGAGGAUGUAAAGGCAGCUGAUAGAUGCUGAGGGAAGAGGAAGUCGAUUUUCUUUCUUGACAGCAACAGCCAUUGGUAGGUUACUCAUGCCUCGAUGGAUGGCCCUAUACAAAUGUGCAUAUAGGUAGCACUAAUAGUGAGUUACUUUUAAAAAGACAAAAAAUUGGGAGGAAAAUGGGAUAAAUAUCAGGUGGAGGAAGCUGGAAUAUAGAAGUGGGUAUGGAUAUGACAAAGAUAUAUGGCAUAUAUUAGAUUUUCAAAAUUAGAAAUGUUCCUGUUUCUGGCCCUAACAGUCAGUCUUGACAUGAAGCUGCCUGAAGGACCCCUUCAUAUGCACAGUGGCCUGUCUAACUUAGUUAAGAGAGCAGUCCUGUGAGAGGCUUCAGUGAAUCGAUGUUUAUAUGUGACCAAUUUCUUAAAAGAACAUCUGAUGACACAACAUAUGGUAUUUCCAUGUCUGAAUGAGAUUAGUUAUUGCUUAUGAACCACAGACUGACUAGAGAACAAAACGAUCCCAACAAAUAGAACCAAGUCAUUAAAUCAUUGAGAGAGGAAAGAGUGGUAUGAUAGAAUAAACAAAGAAUUUUGGAAUCCAAGGCUACAAAUCUAUUUCAUUGCUUUUGGGGUAUGGCAAAAGAUGAACCACUGUCUUGAGUAUCCAUUCCCUUAGUUUUAAAGGGACAUCAUGAACCUGCUUUGAGUGUAUGUAACAGUGGCUCUCAACUUGUGUGUCCUGAUCCUUCAAGGGGUAAGGUAAGACCAUCGAAAACACAGAAAUCUACAUUAUUAUACAUAACAGUAGGAAAAUUACAGUUACAAAGUAGCAACAAAAAGAAUUUUAUGAUCAGGGGUCACCACAGCAUGAGUAUUAAAUGGUCACAGCAUUAAGAAGGUUGAUAACCACUGGUCUGUAAAAUAGUUCAUUUCUAGUGUUUUGUAUAUAAAAUGCAUUCUGUGUGUUGUUCCAUGCUAAUAACAGUGACUCCCAAGAACUUCAGGGUGUGAGCCCGGAUGUGGGGGUUGUUGUGGUGCCAUAGGAGAGGGGAUGCUGAGAGGAAGCUAAUAAAGCAGGGAGAAAUGUGUGGUGUGAGCAACAAAUCUCAAUACAGGAAGCUUCCUGCAUGUGCAGACUGUUACAGCUGACUCUUCCUCCCUUGGGUCCUCUUAAGAGCCACACCUUUUCUACCAUGAGAUGGCAAAGUGAGAGAGCUUUUUAUGAACCAAGAAACAGACAUUUGCCAGACACAAUAUCUGCUGGCACCUUGAUUGUGACUUUACCAGCUUCCAGAAAUGAGAUACAUAAAUGUGUGCUGUUUAUAAACCAUCCGGUUUAUGGUGCUUUUUAUAGCAGUCCAAACAAUCUCCAGCAUUGAUUUGUGAGUUGUCUAAACAAGUCCUCCAUCGUGCCACAGUGGAUUCCCUACUUUGCACGAUAGAACUUCAUUUCUUUUCUAUGAAAUUGGCUUAGUUGAAGCAUCCACUUAACAUUCAAAUCCAGUAUGCAUUGGGGGUCUACCAGACUGGGAGCUCAAUGGCUUUGUAACUUGGUCUAUUUUGUUAUGUUUAAGAAAACUACUGACAGCUCAUAAAUGUCUAUAUUUCAUAACAUAUCUGUAUUUAUACUAGAAAUAAUUCUUAUGGUAUAAUCUGUCUUACUUUUUGAAGUAAUACUCUUUCAUUAUGAAUGAGUAUUAAAUACGAGAUUUCAAAAAAAAAACUUCUAUAUAGUCAUACUGCCUACUAAAUCACUAUUUAUAUAUGUAGAUCUUUCUCUAAUAAUAUUUCAAAGCAUGUCUUAUUUUCCACUGUAUUCAUACAUACAAUUUAAUAUCACACAUUUCAUUAAAUAUACUGCCAGCUACACUAAUGUCAAUACAAACUCCAUGUAAACAUGAAUUUAGUGAUUGCAAAUUAUUGUACUAAUGGAUAUCCCAUGGUUUAUUCAAUCAGUGUGUUCAUUAUCAAAUAUUUGCAUAGUUUUCAAAGCUUAGUGUUGAAAAAUGCUUCAGUAAAUAGCUGGGUAAAUAUUUUUUCUUUACUUUUAGUUACCUCAUCAGAAUGUAUUUCUGUAUAUGGAUUUACUAUAUAAAGAGAUAUAAAAGACCUAAAUACAUAAGCACACUAUAUAUUCAUAUAUAUGUGUAUAUAAUAUAUUGUAUGAGUAUAUAUGUAUACAUACAUAUAUAUAUAUCCCCAUUUCUACCAUCCUUCUUCUCACAAGAGAACUCCAGUUUGAUGUUCUUGUUAUGCAUUGCUUGUGUUAGACCAGUCAAUAAAUGUUUUCUGCAUAUAUUAUAGAUGCACACAAAUAAUAUCAUGGUAUACACUACACAUUGUUCUCUCCUCCUAUUCCCCCUAAUACUAAAUUUUAAAGAGACAUCCAUGUUGUUCUAUGAAUUUUUUCAAACUACUGUAGGCUGUAUGUUUGGUUCUGUGCAUAUAACAUGCAACAAUUCCCUAUUCUUUACUGAAUGGAUUUUCAUAGACAGUGUGCAGUUGUGCUGUGCGACACUUAGUGCUGGGAUAAACUUCCCUGGACCUACUUUCCCCCCUACUCUAGAACAUAGGAAGCUGUAUAGCAAUGGCUCCUUUGUUUGGGUCUCUCCAAAUUCCUAUUUUGAAAACUUAUUUCCUCAGUUGCCAGUGCUGGACCUAGGGGGAAGUGCCUGGGUAAUGGAGCCCUACCUCAUGAUGGGCUAAAACUUUUUUGUAGACCUUGAGGGACUAGGAGCUAGAUAGAUGAUCAGGACCCCUAAAUAGUAACAGGUUGCCUCUCCUUUUGCGGCUGAAUUAAUUACCUCAGGUUGUAAAGGGAAACCUCCACCUGUCUUCUUCCUUCUGUGCAUCCCCUCUCCUAGUCUCUGCCAUGAGUCGAAAAAAAAUAAGACUCUCAUCAAAAGUGGGCAUCCAAUCCCACACUUCCUAGCCUUGAGAAGCAUGAGCCACAGUUAAUUCUGGUUUUAGUAUGUUAUUUGGUAUUAGACAUUCUUAGUAGCCGGAGAAACUAGACCAAGAUGACCUGGAAGGCAAGAUGUAUCUAAGUUGCCCAGUCCUGCCAAACUUUCCUCUAGGCUGUGUUCUCAGCAGUCACACCUGUGAGUCCCUGUAUCCAGAUAUCUCACCACCAACUCCUCAUGCUUGAAUAUUUUUGCAUUUCCAUGAUCACUAUUGAGUUUAAGCACACAUUUAAAUGCUUGAUAACACUCUGUAUUUCUCAAAUCUAAUUUGCCCAUUUAUAUUAUGGAUACAUUUGACUAACAAUGUUUUUUUUUCCCCUGUCACUAGGUUUCUAACUAGGAUUUAAAAUAUUAGUGUUGUGUUUCCUGUGCUAAAAUUAUAUGGUUUUCUCUGGCUGAAGCUUGUAGUUUAAUAGGUUGAUUCAUGCCUAUGUAGGUUUGUUGAACUUAUUAUAAAUUGAUAUAUCUUGAUAUUUUUAUAAAGUUUAUUAAUGCCCAUAUGCUAACCAGGUGUCUAUCAAUCUUGUAACUUUGGACCUCUGAUUUUUUGUUUAAUUUCUAAAUUUUACUAGCUGCAAUUAUGAGAAAGACAUAUGCUCUCUUAAUAAUUAUAAUACAAAUACCAAAGCAAGACAGAUUAUUUUCUUUGCCAACCUGGGUGACAGCCUACAAUGGCAGGUGACCACAGUGAAUGAGUCCAGAGGACAGUUUUUAUAAGCCUAAUGUAGACCUUUUUCAUCCAUUUCCUCACUGGCUGAGUAAUGAGGUGGGAAAUCUUUUUUUUUUCAGUCAGGUUUAUUCUAUGUAAAUUUCUAUUACUAAUAAGUUAAAUAACAUCUAGUUUUCUUUUUUUGUGAGCUAUUUUUUAUUAGUUAUUUUCUUUAUUAACAUUUCAAAUUAUAUCUCCUUUUCUAGUUUCCCCUCUGAAAAUCCCCUAUCCCCUCCCAUCUCCCCCUGCUCACCAACCAACCCACUCCUGCUUCCUGGCCCUGGCAUUCCCCUAUACUGGGGCAUAGAACCUUCACAGGACCAAGGGCCUCUUCUCCCAUUGAUGACCGACUAGGCCAUCCUCUGCUACAUAUGCAGCAACAGCCAUGAGUACCACCAUGUGGUUUUUUUUUUUUUUUUUUUUUUUUUUUGGUUGCUGAUUUAGUCCCUGGGAGCUCUGGGGGUACUGGUUAAUUCACAUUGUUGUUCCUCCUAUGGGGCUACAAACCCCUUCAGUUCCUUGGGUACUUUCUCUGGCUCCUUCAUUGGCGACCCUGUGCUCCGUCCAAUAGAUGGCAUCGACUUCUGUAUUUGUCAGGGACUGUCAGAGCCUCUCAGGAGAUAGCUAUAUCAGGAGAAAAAAUGUCGUAGAAACCUUCUCUACUUUCUCCUGACACUUGUUUUUGUUUUUGUUUUUGUUUUUCUCAUGGGCUCCUCUUUAUGUUUAUGCCCAGUUUAAGUUUUUUCAGGCACAUGAGGCUACAGGCACUCUUUGCCUUUUGUAAUUUUCUAUUCUAAAUUUCUAGUAGAGAGCAGGUUAGCUGGGGCAAGAGUUCAGAAUUUUAUGUUUAUAGUAAUGGAAUCUGAGUUGACUCAAGAUAGUUUGACUUUGAAAAUGCACCAUCUGAUUUUUAUAUCUUAUGCAAUCACUUUUAAAUGGUAAGAUUCUUUGACCCUGAAAACUUCCUACAUAUUCACUGCCGGUUGGGAAAAUUAAUUCUUUGCUUGUACACAAAGCUAAUUAGCCUCUGGUUGUCAGUUGUACAAACUUGUACCAAUGAUGUAGUGGAUUUUGCCAUGUUAUUACGGGAUAGAAUUUAUGAAUAUUUUAUUUCACCAAGCACCGCACUUAGAAAGGCCCUCUUUUGAACAAAUUAUUUCAAGCUUUCAGCUAGGAAGUUUAUAUUUCCAUUUGUUUAAAUUUAAAUAUAUAAUUGAUUCUAGCAUAUUAUAAGCCCAUGUUUAUUAUUAUGGCUAUUUAUUUCAGUAACCAACUUUCAAUUUUGAAGUUUUUCCUGUAUCCUAGUCUAUGUAUAUGGGCUUAUUUUUUAUUUUUAUAUUUGUACCAUUAUCUACAUCUAGUUGCAACUUUAUGUGUCAGCAGCAUAAAUUACUACCAACUUUCACUGUGACUUUAAUAUCAAAUAAGACUGGUCAUCAUUAUUUGUUUUCUGUUUUUUUUUUUUUUUCAAUGAAUAUUCUGGCUGUGUUAGUUACUUGUCUUGUUUCUGCCGUGAAUUAUCUAACAAAGCAACUCAAGGAAGGAAAAGAUUAUGUUGGUUUACAAUUGUAUUGAUAUGGCCCAUCAUGAGAGGGGCAUGGAGCAGGUGGCUGCUGGUCACACCUCAUCCACAGUCAGAAAGUAGAAAGAGAUGAAUGCUGGUGUUUUGCUUGCUUUCUCCUCCUAAUUCAGUACUGGACACCACCUCUUGUACUGGGACACAUUUAGGGCAUAUUUUCUACCACAAUUCAUCUAAUCUAGAUAUCCCACACAGAUUCGCUCAGAGGAUCUGUUUCCAUGGUGAUUCUAAAUCCCACAAAGUUGAUGGUCAAGUAUUGCACUUGCUUAAUAUUUUUCUUUACUAUGCUUUCUAGAUUAAGUAGAGGUAACAGUAGCAAGUAUCUAGGAAUUGUUUGUGAUAUCAAAGGACUAACUUCUAAAAUUUUAACAAAAGUAUGAGUUUUUUUAUAAGUAUUUUAAUAGAAAAUUUAUAUUAAGGGAGUUCUCUCAAUUUUUUCUUUUCAAUAAAUGUCAACUAAAAGCUAAAAUGUAAGGAAUGCCAGUUCUAAAUACUGUAAGACACAAAGCACCCAGUAUACUUAUGUGUUACUCGUAGUCAGAGACACUGUCCUCUGGACCAAAGGUGAUUCAGCUACUGUGAAUCAAAGUUCUCAGGAGUAUGUCCCAAACAUCUAUACAUUGAUGCAAUCGAAGAUAUGUGAAAAAUUCUUUAAUGCAGUAUUAUUAGACUUACCAUGAAGCUGUGAAGAAUAAUUUAUAUUCUACAGAGUAUAAAUAAUGCAUUCUAUGUUCAGUAGAGACACACACAAUUGCUAUGAAAUGAAUUUCAUGUUCAGUGAUAUAGAUAAAUGCUAUUAGCAUAAUAUUGAAAAAAUGAUACUUACAUAUUACUGUUUACCUUAAGAAAAUGACGAAAUUAAUAACCUUAGAUUUAAAGUGUUAUGUGUAUAAAGAUAAUAGCUACCUUUGCAUAGGUUCUUAAAACACUCAUUGAAUGGUUUUAUUUAAGCUAAUUUAAAUGUUGAAUGUGAGAGAUAUGAGGAAGGCCUUGAAGCCAUUAAUAACUUUCUAUUUCUCAAUCUGGUUGAUUAUUAUAGAAUUGUGUUUCUCUCUGCUCAAAUAAAUAUACAUAUUUUUAAAAGUUUAAGCUUAUUGAAUGAGCAAAUGAAGUGACGGCUGAAAUGCACUGUAAAUUAAACUGAAAAGGAAUCAUUCUACUGUGAAAUAAGGAACUUUGUUUAUUCUGUCAUAUUUUGUUUAUUCUCUGUUCCGUUUCUAAUGAGCAAUGAGAUUUAGGGGGAGGGGUCACUUCCUUACUUUGAAUUACUGUUCCUAAUUUCUCAAAAAUGAAGGCUGAACUAAACAAUUCUCAAAUACUCUCGAGUCCUACAAUUCUGUAAAAUAAAAACUUCCCCUG